AGGAUCAUGAUAGGCUAGUAGAGAGCUUAAGCAUCGGACGUUUUUGAUUCACGGACGUCAACCGGAAGUUUAAAUAUGAGCUUCGCAAUCAGUACGCAUGUGCAGACGUUUUUGACGUGAGGUUGCAGACGUGAAAGUGGGAUGUUUGCCGUGCGUGUUGUUUUGCUUUGUUUCAGGACUGUCUCAGUACAAGACUGACAUCAUGUCUUCAUUUUCAAUCGUCAAAUCAAACCCUGGGCCUAUGGAAUGGUCUGAACAGCACGACGUAGCACUAAUGAAAGAAGUCAGAGUGCAGAAUCCGUUUAAAGCAAAGAAGAAAACGAGCAACCGAGCGCAAAUAUGGCUGUCGAUCGCAGAGGCGCUAAGUGGAUUACAAGAUCCGUUAUUCAAGGAUUCAAUGACAAAAGGAUCAGUGCAAGAUCGUUACGUUUUGUAGUGCAGCCCCUUUAUUCGAUAUAGCAUCCGUGUAGGUGUUGAAGUCACGUGGAUUCAGUAGAUCAUGAUUCCACUGACACAGUUUGUGACCAUGUAUAUCGUAAAUAUAAUUCAUCACCGUA